rnacentral:lncRNA from 1 species
ACGGCUAAUAAGUUAUCACCAUGAUAUAUUUCAUUUGUUGUACAGUAUAUAGAAAAUGGGAAACGGUUGUUUUUUAUGCAUCCACAUAUUUUUAAAGGUAAUUGUCUAUUAUACCCUUCGUUUCGUUUAGUAGAGAUCAGAAAAUCAAAUCUCUUUUUCUCACCAUAAAACCAAACCCUCAUACGUUUCCCUCUAUUCUCCGAUGGUUCUUCCCAGACUGAAACCUGACCACCAUUUGUCUCUGUACGAUAUUGUCUCCCUAAACCUUCUCCUCCUGAUGCAGUCUGCAACGUGUUUUGAACAAGAAAUCACGAUGUUCAGCCAAGUAAAAGGUAAGUGAUUCACUAAUCCCUUCUUCACUAAUCAACAACAUGUUCUGAUUAAACACGGUGCAAUGUUCAGCCAGUGAUUCACUGUGUAUGUUUCAUUUGCCACCUGGUUUAGAGUUUAAACUCUCAUGUUAUUAACAAAACCUGUGAAACCCACUUCAAUUUCAAUAAACACACGGACCUCACAUUCCGGCAAGAAAGUCAAAGAAGCCAAAAAAAAAUCGGAAAGAAAAUCAGUUUGUGCGAUGUAACGGUGCAUUUUUGCUUGAUUAUGCCCACCUGCAACUGAUUCUAAUAUGUGUUAUGUAAUGGUGUUUUUUGCAUCUAGAAAGUGCUUUGUAGACGGCCUUCUCUGGCGAACGUGAUUUUUCUCCGGCAAAUAUCUGGUUCGUGUUUAGAGUUUUUCCGGUUGCUGUGUAUCUUGAUGGUACCUUCGUAAGAGAAGAGAUGGAGGGAGAUAAAGUGAACCUAUAUAAGUAAACCUUAGUUAUUUAUUGGGCCAUUGAGUUUUCCUGGGUUUUUUAAUUUUUGGUGGUAUGACAGGAAAGAGAAGGAGAUGGAGACGAAACGGAGAUAAACUAAGUAGGGUCCAUUUUUUUUAUAAAACAGGGGCAUAAUUGUCAAUUUACAUAAGAAAUCUGUGGAAAUAUUAAAAAAGUGUACGUGGAUAUAUCAGCUCCCAUAGAAAAUGGGUGGACUAAAAUGUAGAUAAUGAAUAUAUUUAGGUGGUGGGGAGAUGGAUAACAAAUUAAUGGUCACAAAAAGAGCAUCCCAAAUUUAGUAAAUACGAUUGGUUUUCGAUCAUCACCUCAAUCUCAAUCUCACUAUCUGCUCUCUUUCUUUUUUCCAUUCCUCUUUUUUUUUCUUCAAUUCCUUCAUGUCUACACUGCCCUCUCUCUUAUUAGCAAAACUUCGAUACCAAUUAAAGACAGGUAAUUAUAAGACUUAUUUCUCAUCAACGCUCUUAUUUCAUCUAAAACCCUAUUCAUGCAAAUAUUGGCAUAAAUAAUCAAUCAAUUGAUUGAUUACUAUGAUGAACAUCAUAAAUAAUGUUAUGAUGAAUAUCAUAAAUAAUUAUAAGAAUAAUUUAUGAUGAGCAUCAAUGCAUAUAUAUGUGAAGAUUUGUCAUAAAUAAUCAAAAUUAUUGGAUUUUAUGAUAUCACCGUAAAUAAUUAAAUAUGUUGUAGUGCAUAUUUCAUUUGAUAAAUUCAAAUAUAUAUAUAUAUAUAUAUAUAU